GCCUUCGUGGUGUAGUGGUCAGCACGCUCGACGCAAAUUCGAGAGAUCCCGUGGUUCGAGUCCCCGCGAGGGCA
rnacentral:tRNA from 1 species